ensembl:lncRNA
CUGAGUGGCAUACAUGAAGACUGUAACAUAAGACUUUGGUUGUUCCCACAAUAACGGACAUUAAUGAAAGAACUUCUCAAAGGAAACUUCUGGCUUCCUCGUCCCUCACAGUGCAUCUAAUCAGGACUGAUUAGGUGUGUGGUAGCCAGAAACAUGCAGGGGAGUGGUGGCUGCUGCUGUGCAUGUGAGGGCUUUUCCUGCAUGGUCUACAGGGCUGAGAAAAAGACAGAGGAAUCAGAGGAUGUCAUGUUGUGGCAUUUCAUAGGCAUAAUGAAAGAAAUCUCACUGUUUAUGCCAGGAAAUUGCCUCACCUCAUCCAUCUUCAGACCUUCUGUUUCUCUAUCAUCUAUUCUUGUCCAGUUUCUGUUUGCUUUAUAGGAUCCUAACAGAAGAAGCUGCAGGGGGAAAAACAACCAAAGCGGUUACAUCAGAUCCCACCAAAGGCAGCGUGGUCAGCUGAAUUUAGUCAUACAUUAGUCGUACCACAGGUAAAAUCUGUAAUGUAUAAUCUUUGUGAAAGUACAACUGAUGGUAGCAAAAUAUACAGCUGAUGUCAAAGAAAGUCCUACAGCCCAGUCUGCAAAAAGUUCACAAACACAGAAUGCAGUUAAUCUGUUAAUUUUGUAUAUAAUGAAAAUAAAUGUGCAAAGACGACGCAAACUGCUUAUGAGAAAUAUCCUUUUUUAUUUUGACGCCAGAAACACAUUUCAGAAAAAGCUACAACAGUGGCAUGGUGUGUUGCCUCAUUUUUGUUUUUGGGUUGUCUUUUUGUUUCAAUACAGUGGUGUGCUGUCACCUGACAACAAGAUGGUUCCUGAUUCAAACCCUUAUUGGUGCUCUUAUGAGUGCAGGCGCUCCCUGUGCCUACAUGAGGUUUCCUCCUGUUAGUCUGACACAUGCUCGUUAGAGACGUUGCUGAUUCUGAAUUGGCCGUGAAUGUGAAGCUGAGAAAAUGCUUAUAUGUGUGUUUAGUUAAAAUGUCAUCUGAAGCGUUUUGCUCAGUAAGACUGCAAAUGUACUAAAAAAUACAAGUGCAUUACUUUGUUAGGGUUUUUCUGGGGUCUUUUAAUGUUACUACACAUGGUGAAGUCUACCAGCUGUUCAUGUUUUACAUCGAGAUGUUGUUCUUUAAUUGUUAAACUAUUUGCUUAUGAGAUUUUUUUGUGUAAUGAACCUUUGCUACUUUUAACUUAAAGAAGACCCAACCUCUUUAGGACAUUCUUUUUCUACCAAAUCACAUGUUAAUAACCUGUUUGAAUAUCCUAGUGGUUAUUAAGUAACCUAUAGGUUCUUGAAGUGAUCUUUAAAGCAUCAGUUUUCCUGGGUUUUCACCACCUUUUUUAAAAUCCUUUUUGCUGGAAUUAAAUCCAAAAUUAACAUUUUUUCCUAAAUUUUAUAUAUUUAAAGAUUCAGUUUGAUUUAAUGUUUAUUUACAUUUUUAAACAGAUCAAUUUUUUAAGACACCUGCUCCUUAAGUGGUUAAAGUAAAGAAAAUAGGGCCCUCUUAAAAUGGCACUAAUUCGUUUUAAGUCACAAGUGCUUGAACUCCAGCUGAAGUGCCUAAUUCCCACAAAUAUUUAUCAGACUAAGGCAAUUUUAAUUAACAGCCUGGUUGGAAAAUCCUUGAAUAUUCUGAGAAUAUUACCUAGAGUGUAGUAUUUGUAGUUUUUGGGAGAUAAAAAAUUCUCACAACUUCCCUACCUCAUGACCAGCGGCCCUUGGCCUUUGAGGGUUUAAAUUGUCCAAAAAUGGAAGAUUUUCCUAGUUUUUUACAUUCAAAGCAUUAAAACCAUUAUUAUAUCCACAGAUAAUUUCUACAACUGUAGCAUCAGGUUAAAGAGAAUUCUUCAUUAAACAAACUUUAAUGAAGAAUUAUGUACUUUCUUUUGGCAUUCAAAAGAAAGUACAUAAUUUCAUCCAAAGUACAUACUUGUCAUUGCUUUUGGACAGUUUCAAAUUGUUACACUUGGUAUUCAGAGAUUAAUUCAUGGAACGUCUAGGCUUAAUUUAAGAAUAAAAAUGUCCAAUAUGAAUAGAAAAAAAUGGGUAUAAAAAUGCAAUUAUUUCCUUCCUUAUGUUAUUUAUAACUUCCUUAUUUGUCUAUUUUUAAAUCUGAGCUUUCUAUGUUUGUCUGAAUAUUUUAUUAGUAUCAGUUGCUUAAUUGUUUUAAUAAUGAAAAAAUCUUUAAAAUAAUUAUACAAAUGUGGUUUUAUUGAAUAUGCGUUUGUUCUAUUAAUUGUUGUGAGAAAUUUUAAUUCCUACAGAUCUUGUGUUGACAGACCUGCUUUUAUUUGUCUAACAGUUAAAUAUUUAACUGCCCCCCCCCCCCCCAAAUAAAAGUCUGCUUGAAUACAAAAAACCGACCUGACUUUUUAAAGUAAACUUUGAAAAACAAAAAACAAAACAAACAAACGAACAGAAAACAAAACAUCUCAACACUAUUCGUGUUUAAAGAGGUUUUUAGCCUGUCUGUUUUACA